UUUAAAUGCAAUUUUACAGGAUUUCUGUGCGUUUACAGCGGUCAUUUCCAUGCACGUAUGGAAAAAAAAUAUAUUAAAAAAAUCAAGUAUCGCAGAGGGUUUUUCACUGUUACUUGUUACAUCCUCAAAACAACAGCGUUGCACAAGCUGGAGCUGUGCGUGCUUCCUCCUUGCCGGCCUCCAGCUCUCCCCUCUCAUCUACUCCCAAUUAAUGACUUGCUGAGAAAUCCUGACACUAACAUAAAUGUAUUUGGUUAUUCCAUAUUUUUCUUUUUCUGUAUUUCAACGGAAUGCAGUAGGCGUAAUGAAGGUCAGACAACCACUGGGGAUUCCUAGUGUCCUGAAUUUCAAACAAAAAAAACCCUCAAAACCCCUUCUUUCUCCUUCCCCACCCCUUAAACUGUUUUAGUUAUACAUCUGCUGACCAUUCAUGUGUGUCUGAGCACAGUAAGGACACCUAUUUUUCCAAAAAGGCUUACGCUGGGACAUGAAAUCAAGGAAGGGCUAAAUGUCACAAAAUACAAAAUGUUAUUUGUGUUUGAGGGGAAUGAUGGAAACCCAACAUUGGCCCAUGCGAUUGCAUCUUCUGGCCAUCAACUUAGGAUUUUGUUUUUUUUUUUUUUUUUUACUAGAAUUUUUCUGUUUGGAUGAGUUCUUAAUUUUUUUUUCUGCACCUUGUGCUGUUCUGUAAGUAGGAUUAGUAGGCAAAAUGCUGAGGUUCACCUGAGCAGGAUUGAGCUCUUGUUAUGGAAAUUACGAGGGGAACUGUUUUCAAUCAACAAGAAAGCAGUUCUAGGCAAAUGCCCACAUUCAAACACUCUUAAAUUGUACAUUCGUUUCCUGUUCCUUGGGUAUAAUGUUGAAAUUAAAGGCAGAUUUUUUACCCCCAGAACCAGGAGACUGAGAUACAUUCUGUGUUGCUUUUACAGCAAGCGUUGUCACGCAGCCCCGUGCUCUGCUUUAUUUGCUGUGGAGUGGACAGACGUCCUGGAAAGAGGAGGAGGUGAGAAGGUGAC
rnacentral:lncRNA from 1 species